rnacentral:lncRNA from 1 species
GCGCCGCUCCUGACAACAUAAGCCCUUUCUGAUAGGACAACAUUUCCAAUCCAAGAUUAAAAUCUUGGAAACUUGUCAACAGAAAAGGAUGAUAAUAUGAGGGAAACUGCUGCUAUCAAAGAAAAAACGCUCGGCAAGUCAUUUCCGUAAUGGCCGACUUCUAGUAAUUUUCUCUUUCCCCUUCACUCUUAAGUAAAGGGGUUGGCCUGAAGGUCAUUUUAAUAUUUUGGGACGUUGCCCUCUACUCCGCAUGCUGAAGGAUAUGUUAAAAGAAUUCCAGAGAAAGGCACAUCUACAUAUUUUGUUGUAUCUGGCACUUCAAAAGGUCUCUGGAGACUGAGACCUGACUGGAAAGGUCCCCAAGUCAACAUGGCAGAGACUCUGAUUAAUAUGGAUGCUUACAGGCUUCAGUGGGACCUCUUCUUUCAACAGAAUUCAGAGGGAAGCUGA